rnacentral:rRNA from 1 species
GGGGAAUAUUGGACAAUGGGCGAAAGCCUGAUCCAGCCACGCCGCGUGUGUGAUGAAGGUCUUCGGAUCGUAAAGCACUGUGGAGAGGGACGAAUGACCUUUAGGUUAAUACCCUAGAGGAGUGACGGUACCUCUUAGCAAGCACCGGCUAACUCCGUGCCAGCAGCCGCGGUAAUACGGAGGGUGCAAACGUUGCUCGGAAUCAUUGGGCGUAAAGCGCGCGUAGGCGGCAUGUUAAGUCGUGUGUGAAAGCCCCGGGCUCAACCUGGGAAGUGCGCACGAAACUGGCAAGCUCGAGUACGGGAGAGGGUAGUGGAAUUCCCGGUGUAGAGGUGAAAUUCGUAGAUAUCGGGAGGAACACCAGUGGCGAAGGCGGCUACCUGGACCGAUACUGACGCUGAGACGCGAAAGCGUGGGGAGCAAAC